AUUUUCCGGUUGAUCCUGCCGGACCCGACUGCUAUCAGAGUGGGACUAAGCCAUGCGAGUCAACAUAGCAAUAUGUGGCAUACGGCUCAGUAACACGUAGUCAACAUGCCCAGGGGACGUGGAUAACCUCGGGAAACUGAGGAUAAACCGCGAUCGGUCAUCACUUCUGGAAUGGGUAAUGACUUAAAUCUAUAUGGCCCCUGGAUUGGACUGCGGCCGAUCAGGCUGUUGGUGAGGUAAUGGCCCACCAAACCUGUAACCGGUACGGGCUCUGAGAGGAGGAGCCCGGAGAUGGGCACUGAGACAAGGGCCCAGGCCCUAUGGGGCGCAGCAGGCGCGAAACCUCUGCAAUAGGCGAAAGCUUGACAGGGUUACUCUGAGUGAUUUCCGUUAAGGAGAUCUUUUGGCACCUCUAAAAAUGGUGCAGAAUAAGGGGUGGGCAAGUCUGGUGUCAGCCGCCGCGGUAAUACCAGCACCCCGAGUGGUCGGGACGUUUAUUGGGCCUAAAGCAUCCGUAGCCGGUUCUACAAGUCUUCCGUUAAAUCCACCUGCUUAACAGAUGGGCUGCGGAAGAUACUAUAGAGCUAGGAGGCGGGAGAGGCAAGCGGUACUCGAUGGGUAGGGGUAAAAUCCGUUGAUCCAUUGAAGACCACCAGUGGCGAAGGCAGCUUGCCAGAACGCGCUCGACGGUGAGGGAUGAAAGCUGGGGGAGCAAACCGGAUUAGAUACCCGGGUAGUCCCAGCUGUAAACGAUGCAGACUCGGUGAUGAGUUGGCUUAUUGCUAACUCAGUGCCGCAGGGAAGCCGUUAAGUUUGCCGCCUGGGGAGUACGGUCGCAAGACUGAAACUUAAAGGAAUU
rnacentral:rRNA from 1 species